UACGAAGGGGGGCUAGCGUUGCUCGGAAUGACUGGGCGUAAAGGGCGCGUAGGCGGCCGGCAUAGUCAGAUGUGAAAUUCCUGGGCUUAACCUGGGGGGCUGCAUUUGAUACGUGCUGGCUUGAGUGCGGAAGAGGGUCGUGGAAUUCCCAGUGUAGAGGUGAAAUUCGUAGAUAUUGGGGAAGAACACCGGUGGCGAAGGCGGCGACCUGGUCCGUGACUGACGCUGAGGCACGAAAGCGUGGGGAGCAAACAGG
rnacentral:rRNA from 1 species